rfam:Schistosoma haematobium scaffold148_30, whole genome shotgun sequence.
AUCCAGCUGAUGAGUCCCAAAUAGGACGAGACGCUUGUCCUGUAU